rnacentral:rRNA from 1 species
UUUGAUGGCGACCGGCGCACGGGUGAGUAACACGUAUCCAACCUGCCGAUGACUCGGGGAUAGCCUUUCGAAAGAAAGAUUAAUACCCGAUGGCAUAGUUCUUCCGCAUGGUAGAACUAUUAAAGAAUUUCGGUCAUCGAUGGGGAUGCGUUCCAUUAGCUUGUUGGCGGGGUAACGGCCCCCCAAGGCAUCGAUGGAUAGGGGUUCUGAGAGGAAGGUCCCCCACAUUGGAACUGAGACACGGUCCAAACUCCUACGGGAGGCAGCAG